CCUACGGGAGGCAGCAGUAGGGAAUCUUCCACAAUGGGCGAAAGCCUGAUGGAGCAACGCCGCGUGGGUGAAGAAGGUCUUCGGAUCGUAAAACCCUGUUGUUAGAGAAGAAAGUGCGUGAGAGUAACUGUUCACGUUUCGACGGUAUCUAACCAGAAAGCCACGGCUAACUACGUGCCAGCAGCCGCGGUAAUACGUAGGUGGCAAGCGUUAUCCGGAGUGAUUGGGCGUAAAGGGAACGCAGGCGGUCUUUUACGUAUGAUGUGAAAGCCUUCGGCUUAACCGGAGUAGUGCAUUGGAAACUGGGAGACUUGAGUGCAGAAGAGGAGAGUGGAACUCCAUGUGUAGCGGUGAAAUGCGUAGAUAUAUGGAAGAACACCAGUGGCGAAAGCGGCUCUCUGGUCUGUAACUGACGCUGAGGUUCGAAAGCGUGGGUAGCAAACAGGAUUAGAUACCCCUGUAGUC
rnacentral:rRNA from 1 species